rnacentral:lncRNA from 1 species
AGCAUUUCUCAGUUGCCUACAGUUCUUGUGUAGGGUUGAAGCUUCCUGGGUUUUUCCCUGUCCAUAUUAGCAUGUUUAUUGUUGUCCUUGUUCAGUUUAUGUUUAGGCAAUCAUAAUGAUGAGACUUCAUGGGUGUAGUUCUGACAUUACUAGGAUUUGCAAUCUUAGAGCAAAUUCCCUCCUCCUUUGCCUCUUACAGUCUUUCCUCCCCCUCUUCUGCAAUGACUCCCGAGCCUUAAGUGUUCUUUUGUAGAUGUGUCCAUUGGAGCCAUGUUCUACAGCUGUGCAUUUUGAUUUGUGGUGUUCUGUAGUGGUCUCUGUCUGUUACAAAGAGAAGUUUUCUUGAGGGGUGAGGGCCAUACUUGCCUGUGGGAUAUAAGGACACAUAUUUAGAAUGUAGUCAGAAGCUAUGCUGGUGUUAGUAAAGUGGUGGUUCUGCUGCAAGAUUCAUGACUUCACUGCCUGUCGGCUAGGUUUUCAGUACCAGGCAUAGUUUCCUUCUUCUGGGUCCAGUUAGAGAGCUGUUGAUUACUGACAAGUUCUGUGUGGACUACUUACUGCACCUUUCGGGUUAUUGUGCUAUGUGGGUCUCUAGUGUGGUUCAUAGGUGUCAUAGCUGAGUAGUACUUUUGGUUGUUCCUUCCCUCCUUUGGAAGCUUGAAUGGCGCUUUCUGGUACCAUGGAAGCUAGUCCUCGGGGAGGAUGCUUUCCGGUCAGAUGCAGCUCUGGCUGGCAUCCGGGCCCUCUGUCCAAAGUGUUUAUCUUCAGCAAUAGGGAACCUGGUUGCAACCUGAGGUAACAAUAAGCUGUAGUGUUUUGGGAAUCUCUUGGACAACACUAACAACUGAAGAGAGGGCUUCUCAUGCCUGGGCUUGGGGUUUUUUGUUAGAUUGUCGUUGGCUCUGGGAAGGAGUAUUGUUAGUCCAGAUGAGAAAAUUUUAUUUAAACUAUAUAUGCAUACAAAUUUUUUCACAGUUUCAUAAAGAUACGCACACAUUACGUUGGUUGUAUCUCCGACACUAUUAUUUUCCUUUAGUCCCUUCCACUCUUGCUGAAAAUAUUCCUUGUUCUCCCACCAAGUCUUUCUCCUACUUGAGUGUUUCUGUGUGUCCGAGCAUCUUAUCCCACUUGCUUGCAUGGACGUGGGUAAGAAUAACUUACUUUGGCAAAGACAAAUAACCAUAGGAACUGACCUGAGAGCACGACUUGUUCACUGAGUUAGGAAGUUGUUUACAUUGAUUUCUGAUUUUUUGGGGGAAGGGGUGGUAUUGCUAUAUGCUGGAUGGAAGUUUAUAGACUCUUUCUCACUGUUUCUAAAACAGUAUUUCAUGACAUGGAAGUUUGGGGAAUUAAGGUUAGCUAGCAUUCGGUUGAUUUGGAGUCCGGGAAUGAUUGCUCACUUCUGGAAAGUUUUCCACACUUUAUUCCUUUUCAUUAGUUUGUCAACUCUUGCUUUCUGGAUUUCAGGUCUGGUAAAAGAUGCUGGCCUUUUGUUUUCUUUAUUUUUCCUUAUACUUUUCUAUAUUAUCUUUUUUACUUCGUCUUUCGAAACUGUUUCAUUUUCCUCUGACCCUUCGGUCAAGUUUUGCAUUUCUAAUGUCCAAAUGUUUCUUGGUUUUUUUGGAGAAGGACCCUAAAAAUAGCAAUGUAUUUAUUUUUAUUAAAAUGUGUAUAAUACCUUUUGUCUUUAAGUUACUAACAUCUUUUAUCUUUAUUAAGAUACUCAAAGUGUUUUUAAAAGGAUUCAUCUUUUUGUUUUGAAAGAAAAAAUUACUAUUUUAGUUUUUAUUUUUUCCCCUUUGUCUUAUUUAGGAUAUACAAAAAAAAAAUUCAAAGAUUUGAGCAAACGUGAAAUGUACAGGAAUUCUGUACAUUCAGGGCUAGUCACUGGCCACUGCCAGCAUACACAGCAUCGGAAGAUGGGGCUUUUUAGGGCCAGUGAGGAGCCUGAAAGGGCAGAGGUCACUUUGUUGUCACACUUAGUUCGUUCGUGGGUAAAGCAGUUCCUGCUGCUGCAGUGUUACUGAGUGUAGGCUCCCUCAGUCUGAAGUUGACACCCCUAGAGGAGCCAGGGCCUUAGGAAAGGCAGGACAGGGGAGCAGUGAGUGCACGCUGCCAUGUUGGUUUCCGGGAACGAAUACUGUGGGAAACUCAGCUGUAUGGACUGAGUGUAGGAGCUGAGCUUUACUUGCCUUUUGGGAUUCUCAGAAAGACUUCCGGUUCUUUCUGCGGUCCAUUAGCAUAUUUUGGUACCCCGAGAAGGAAGUUGAUAGAAUAUCUGUUGUCAGUAUUAUAUAAAUUGUGUUUCACAGUUACCGUCGUCGUAUUGCUGCUCUCAACUGUGGCAUUCCUAGUCUAGAACCCCUUUUUAUUCUCUAGGACUGAGACUCUCAACCUUCCUAGUGCUGCAGCCAUUUAAUGCAGCUCCUUAUGUUGUGCAGACCCCCAACCAUAAGGAUAUUUUUGUUGCUACUAAAUAACUAAGUUUGCUACUGUUACAUAAAUAUCUGUGUUUUCCAAUGGUCUUAGACAACCUCUGUUAAAGAGUUGUUUAUCCCCAAAGGGCUCACAACUGACAGGCUAAGAACCAUUGCUUAAGGGGCUAAGCUUUAGGGGUUUAGGGCAGGGUGUUAAAACGGUGGAUUUGAUAACUUGCUGGCUUACUGUUUGUCUCAAGUAUACUACUUAAUUGUUCCUUGCUUGAAUCACAAAAUGUGUCAUUAUUCCUCUCGCUCUUCAUUUUCUGUAAAUUCAUACCUUUUCAGAAAAGAUCCUUUAUUGUACCUAAAGGAACAAGGGUUGUCCUUAUCAUACUUUCCUUGGUAUAUAAUCUUAAUUUUAAAAAAUCAGUUACUUGGCACAUGUACAUGAGACUUUAAGAAAU